rnacentral:misc_RNA from 1 species
CGAUUCCCAACGCAAACUUCGGGUCUUGCGAUAACAGACUAACAGUAAUACAGUUGUUUCCACUCCAUGCUUACGUCGGCCACCGCAUACGUUCCACCCGCCUCUUCGUAUUAUGUCCUCCGCGACCAGAUUCCGCCGCCUCAGCGCGGCUGUCGCUAUUGUCACCGCCACUGCGGCCGCGACCGGAGGAGCCAUCCUAUUCUCCCCCAAAAUAGCCACCAACGACCGCGGCGGCGGGCCUGCCUUCGACUCUGUUGGGCAGAAAAUUGCUGAUCCUAGAGCUGUCAUUCCGUCUCGAGCAGCUCAGGAGUCAGUUUUGACUGGUGCAAGCGCCUCCAAUCCCCUUGAUGUUCUCGUAAUCGGCGGUGGCGCCACUGGCUGUGGAGUGGCGCUCGAUGCUGUCACCAGAGGACUUCGCGUUGGUCUCGUUGAGAGAGAGGACUUCUCUUCUGGUACCUCUUCCAGGUCCACGAAGCUAAUUCAUGGAGGAGUUCGCUACUUGGAGAAAGCAGUCUUUUAUCUUGACUAUGGUCAAUUGAAGCUAGUUUUCCAUGCACUUGAGGAGAGGAAACAGGUUAUUGACCAUGCACCACACCUGUGCCAUGCUUUGCCUUGCAUGACACCCUGUUUUGACUGGUUUGAGGUAGUAUACUAUUGGAUGGGCUUGAAAUUGUACGAUUUGGUCGCAGGACCACGCUUGUUACACUUGUCCAGAUAUUAUUCUGCACAAGAGUCCCUUGAAUUGUUUCCAACUCUUGCAAAAAAGGGUAAAGAUAGAAGCUUGAGAGGCACAGUUGUGUAUUAUGAUGGGCAGAUGAAUGACUCAAGGGUUAAUGUUGCUUUAGCAUGUACUGCUGCAUUAGCUGGUGCAGCAGUGGUCAACCAUGCAGAAGUGGUAUCUUUUAUUAAAGAUGAGGCUAACGAGCGGAUAAUUGGUGCACGGAUUCGGGACAAUCUAUCAGGCAAAGAGUUUGAUGCCUAUGCAAAAGUUGUGGUAAAUGCGGCUGGCCCAUUUUGUGACUCUGUAAGAAAAAUGGCUAAGAAUGAUGCACUACCUAUGAUAUGUCCUAGCAGUGGUGUACAUAUUGUUCUCCCUGAUUAUUAUUCUCCAGAGGGAAUGGGCUUGAUUGUUCCUAAAACAAAGGAUGGGCGCGUUGUUUUCAUGCUGCCAUGGUUGGGAAGAACAGUCGCUGGAACUACAGAUUCUAACACUGACAUCACUUUACUUCCAGAACCACACGAAGAUGAGAUUCAGUUUAUACUUGACGCUAUCUCAGAUUACCUUAGUGUUAAGGUACGCCGCAUUGAUGUUCUUUCAGCCUGGAGUGGUAUUCGCCCAUUAGCUAUUGAUCCAUCAGCAAAGAGCACUGAGAGCAUCUCCAGAGAUCAUGUUGUAUGUGAAGAUUAUCCUGGUUUGGUCACAAUCACUGGCGGAAAAUGGACUACUUACAGAAGCAUGGCAGAAGAUGCUGUUGAUGCAGCUAUAAAGUCUGGAAAACUAAGUCCAACAAAUGGAUGUUUAACUCAAAACCUCAGGCUGAUUGGUGGGGAUGGAUGGGAGCCUUCAUCAUUCACUGUUCUUGCUCAACAAUAUGUACGCAUGAAGAGGACAUCUGGCGGUAAAGUUGUCCCUGGAGUAAUGGACACAACUUCUGCUAAGCAUUUAUCACAUGCAUAUGGUACAUUGGCAGAACGAGUGGCUGCUAUAGCUCAGAAUGAAGGUCUAGGGAAGCGGCUUGCCCAUGGCUACCCUUUUCUAGAAGCAGAGGUUGCCUACUGUGCCCGAAAUGAAUACUGUGAAUCUGCUGUUGAUUUCAUUGCAAGGAGAUCACGGCUUGCUUUCCUGGAUACUGAUGCAGCGGGCCGGGCAUUGCCACGUGUCAUUGAGAUAUUGGCUAAUGAACACAACUGGGAUAAGGCAAGACAAAAGCAAGAGUUAGAGAAUGCCAAAAAGUUUUUGGAAACUUUCAAGUCUUCGAAAAAUGCUCAGUUCCAUGACAGGAAACACUAACAGUAAGUUUUGACUUUUGAUUAUACCUGCUCACUAAUUCGUUUAACAUUUCUCAAAUCUGUAUAUUUAUUGUUUACUUCUCAUUGUGUUCUAGGGUCUUGACUACUGAGCUGGGUUUUUGAGGAGCUCAAAUAUGUAGUUUGUCCCAAUUUUCAUAGCUUAUGCUGAUAUAAGGACAUUUUGAUUUCUGUGUUCAGCAGAUUGCUAGAACACCUGGUUAUAGCUUACAAUUCACGAUUAUCUGCAAAAAUAAUGUUAUUUCACAAGAUUGAUUCAAUAAUUUCUGGCUUUUGCAAAAGUAAAAUGAAUUCAGCAUGAGUUGCUGGUUCUCUUCAUCUCCAG